CAGUCGCCGCGGUAAUACAGAGGGUGCGAGCGUUAAUCGGAUUUACUGGGCGUAAAGCGUGCGUAGGCGGCUUUUUAAGUCUGUUGUGAAAUCCCCGGGCUCAACCUGGGAAUGGCAAUGGAAACUGGACGGCUAGAGUGUGUCAGAGGAUGGUGGAAUUCCCGGUGUAGCGGUGAAAUGCGUAGAGAUCGGGAGGAACAUCAGUGGCGAAGGCGGCCAUCUGGGACAACACUGACGCUGAAGCACGAAAGCGUGGGGAGCAAACAGGAUUAGAUACCCCAGUAGUCCCUGUCUCUUAUAC
rnacentral:rRNA from 1 species